AUAUCCAUUAUGGAAAAUUCAACAUUAAUAUUAUAAUAUUUAUUUAUAAAUAUUAUAAAAAUAGUGUGCAAUUUUUCCAUAUAAGGACAUUGUAAUCUGUUAAUGUAAUAAAUAUUUAUCAUAAGAUUCAAUAAAUAAAAGUUUAUUCAAAUUAGUUAUUUUCCGAUUUCUAACAUAGAAUAAAUUUAAUUGAAUUUGAUAAAUCAUUGACAGAUUUAUUUAUAUAUAGUGCUUAAAUUUUUAAUAGAAUUUUACAAUAAUUUAUAAAUGUAUUUUCAUUUAUUUAUUUGUUGUAUGCACUUAUAUGAUUAACAAUGCUAUAGAUUCAGGAUACCUUCGGGACCCGUCUUGAAACACGGACCAAGGAGUCUAACAUAUGUGCAAGUCAUUGGGUAUUUUUAAUAAAACCCAAAGGCAUAAUUAACUUAACUGUUUUUAAUAUGGGAUUAGUUUAUAUUUUAUUAUGAAAUAUUAAUUCAAUCCCGGGGCGUUCUAUAUAGUUAUGUAUAAUAGUAUUUAUAUUAUUUAUGCCUCUAACUAGAGCGUACCUUGAGCAUAUAUGCUGUGACC
rnacentral:rRNA from 1 species